CAAAAGCUAUCGCCGAAGGAGGGGUUUGCGUCUGAUUAGCUGGUUGGAGGGUAACGGCCCAACAAGGCGAUGAUCAGUAGCCGGUCUGAGAGGAUGAACGGCCACAUUGGGACUGAGACACGGCCAGACUCCUACGGGAGGCAGCAGUGGGGAAUCUUCCGCAAUGGACGAAAGUCUGACGGAGCAACGCCGCGUGAGUGAAGAAGGUCUUCGGAUUGUAAAACUCUGUUAUACGGGACGAAAAAGGCGGAUGCCAACAGUAUCCGUCCGUGACGGUACCGUAAGAGAAAGCCACGGGCUAACUACGUGCCAGCAGCCGCGGUAAAU
rnacentral:rRNA from 1 species